rnacentral:rRNA from 1 species
GAUGAACGCUAGCUACAGGCUUAACACAUGCAAGUCGAGGGGUAACGAGAGGAAAGCUUGCUUUCCUUGUCGACGACCGGCGCACGGGUGAGUAACGCGUAUCCAACCUGCCCCCAACUAGGGAAUAACCUUGCGAAAGUAAGACUAAUACCCUAUAAUUUCCUCAGAUGUCAUCUGCAGAGGAAUAAAGAUUUAUCGGUUGUGGAUGGGGAUGCGUCUGAUUAGCUUGUUGGGGGGGUAACGGCCCACCAAGGCAACGAUAAGGAGGGGUUGUGAGAGGAAGGUCCCCCACAGUGGAACUGCGACAAGGUCCAAACGCCUGCGGGAGGCAGCAGUGAGGAAUAUUGGUCAAUAGUCGGAAGCCUGAACCAGCCAAGUAGCGUGCAGGAUGACGGCCCUAUCGGUUGUAAACUGCUUUUAUACAGGAAUAAAGAUAGACACGUGUGGUUAUUUGUAGGUACUGUAUGAAUAAGGACCGGCUAAUUCCGUGCCAGCCGCCGCAGUAA